rnacentral:rRNA from 1 species
AUUGAACGCUGGCGGCAGGCCUAACACAUGCAAGUCGAGCGGAUGAAGGGAGCUUGCUCCUGGAUUCAGCGGCGGACGGGUGAGUAAUGCCUAGGAAUCUGCCUGGUAGUGGUGGAUAACGUCUGCAAACGGGCGCUAAUACCGCAUACUUCCUGAUGCUGAAAGUGGGGGAUCUUCGGACCUCUUGCUCUCAGAUGAGUCUAGGUCGGAUUAGCUAGCUGGUGGGGUAAAGGCCUACCUAGGCGACGAUCCGUAGCUGGACUGAGAGAAUGAUCAGUCGCACUAGAAGUGAGACAGCGACCAGACGACUACGGGAGGGAGCAGUGGGGAAUAUGGGACAGUGGGCGAAAGCAUGAUCCAGCGAUGCCGCGUGUGUGAAGAAAGUCUUCGGAGUGUGAAGCACUUUAAGUGGGGAGGAAGCGCAGUAAGUUGAUACCUUGCUGUUUUGACGUUACCAACAGAAGAAGCACCGGCUAACUUCGUG